UUAAAUUAGAAGCAGCUUGGUUCUUUCUUCCCGAAGUAAGAAGAUCUAAUUAUUUCUAUUUAUCUUAGGAUUUGUUAACCAUGGUGUAGCAAAACUAUAUGUAAAGGAAAAAUUAGGAGUGAAAGGCUUGUCAAUUCUUACUGAUAUCUGGAUUAAGCAUAAAUAUAUUUAGUAUAUAAACGACAUAUAAAAAACGCUAAGAUUUUUUAUAAAAAAAAGUAUGGGUUUAUGUGAAUAUACUAGUUUAUUAAUAUAAAGUAGUUUAUUUUAAAAUAAUUAUUAAUCUCCUAACUCUUUUUGAUCUUAGGCUUAUAAUGUAUUACAACUGUUAACACAUUCAAUAAUGUUUAAAUAAGUAUUACGAAUAAAAAGUCAUAAGGAACUCGGCAAAAAUAUUUUUCAACUGUUUAUCAAAAACAUAGCUAUCAGCAAACGUUAUUGUUAGUUUAUUCUGCCCAGUGAAAAAUUUAACGGCCGCAGUACACUGACUGUGCAAAGGUAGCAUAAUAAAUUGGCUUUUAAUUGGAGUCCUGUAUGAAAGAAAUAAUUGGAAAAAAGCUGUCUUAUGACUUUUCUUUAGAAUUUACUAAGAAAGUGCAAAUUCUUUCAAUUUUUUUUUAAAAGACGAGAAGACCCUAUAAAUUUUCAUAAAAGAAAGAAAUAAUUCUUUUUAAGUUUUUGUUGGGGCAACAAUUUAACAAUCAUUAGAAUAAUUUAAAUUAAAAAUAUGUUAUAAUCAAUCGAAUUUUAUUAACCAAAAAUAAAUUACUAUAGGGAUAACAGCAUAAUUUUAUAAAUAAGAUUGUGACCUCGAUGUUGGAUUAGGGUUCUAUUAAAUCAGUAAUUUAAUGGUUAGGUUCUGUUCGAACUGUGUUCCCU
rnacentral:rRNA from 1 species